rnacentral:rRNA from 1 species
CCUACGGGUGGCAGCAGUGGGGAAUAUUGCACAAUUGGGGAAACCCUGAUGCAGCGACGCCGCGUGAGUGAAGAAGUAAUUCGUUAUGUAAAGCUCUAUCAGCAGGGAAGAAAAUGACGGUACCUGUGUAAGAAGCCCUGGCUAACUACGUGCCAGCAGCCGCGGUAAUACGUAGGGGGCAAGCGUUAUCCGGAUUUACUGGGUGUAAAGGGAGCGUAGACGGCAGUGCAAGUCUGGAGUGAAAGGCGGGGGCCCAACCCGCGGACUGCUCUGGAGACUGGACGGCUGGAGUGCAGGAGAGGUAAGUAGAAUUCCUAGUGUAGCGGUGAAAUGCGUAGAGAUUAGGAGGAACACCAGAGGCGAAGGCGGCUUACUGGGCUGUAACUGACGUUGAGGUUCGAAAGCGUGGGGAGCAAACAGGAUUAGAUACCCUUGUAGUC